rnacentral:tRNA from 1 species
GGGGGUGUAGCUCAGUGGUUAGAGCAGUCGGCUCAUAACUGAUUGGUCGUAGGUUCAAGUCCUACCACCCCCACCA